AACACAGAAAACUACACGGUGCAAGAUGCCUCAUCUGCCUGCAUUGAUCUCGAUAGCAUGCUGAGAGAGCUGGGCUCCCUGUCAAGCUGCAUGGAUCAACUUUUACUGCAAACCCAGAUGAAGCUCUGUGAUCUGAUUGUUAAUGUUGGACACCCUGAUAAGCUGGCGAUUUUGAAGGUCCAAGAGGAGGAACUGAAGCAGCAGCCGCCUCCAGCUUGGGCUGAAAGUGAAGCACAAAGAACAAAGGUUCAGGAGGAUAAGAUGGUGAAACUGUGAGAGUCAGCGCCUGACCUUGUUCACCUCUCUGAGAGCAUCUUCAGCUUGAUGUCUGGUCAUCUGUCCUCCAUACCAGCUGGAUUCCAAAUCCUGGAUGCACUAGAUAAACAAGUACAGUAAGGACUAAAGCCCUCUUCACACAGGAGUAGUAUUACCUGUGAACCUCUGAUCAUCUGCAAGAACUGAUGAGGAAGUCUGUUUAAAUUUACCUCCUUUCAGUUUUAUCCACAGACAUGCACAAACACCUCUCCUCUCUCAACAUGCACAGUGCUUAUCCAGCUGCUCCUCUUUACUUGUGGCCUGUGUGUCUGAGCUUUAUUCAAUACUUACUGGUCUGGGUUUUACUAGUUUUCCCAAGUAACAAUACCAUUGUUUCGAAAUGUGACCCUGAAUA